AGGAAUGUAGCUUAGUGGCAGAGUGCUUGCCUAGCAUGCAUGAAGCCCUGGGUUUCAUUCCUU
rnacentral:tRNA from 1 species